rnacentral:rRNA from 1 species
AAAGGAAUAGACGGGGGCCCGCACAAGCGGCGGAGCAUGUGGAUUAAUUCGAUGCAACGCGAAGAACCUUACCUGGGCUUGACAUGCACCGGAUCGCCUCAGAGAUGGGGUUUCCCUUGUGGUCGGUGCACAGGUGGUGCAUGGCUGUCGUCAGCUCGUGUCGUGAGAUGUUGGGUUAAGUCCCGCAACGAGCGCAACCCUUGUCCCAUGUUGCCAGCGGGUAAUGCCGGGGACUCGUGGGAGACUGCCGGGGUCAACUCGGAGGAAGGUGGGGAUGACGUCAAGUCAUCAUGCCCCUUAUGUCCAGGGCUUCACACAUGCUACAAUGGCUGGUACAGAGGGUUGCGAUACCGUGAGGUGGAGCGAAUCCCUUAAAGCCAGUCUCAGUUCGGAUCGCAGUCUGCAACUCGACUGCGUGAAGUCGGAGUCGCUAGUAAUCGCAGAUCAGCAUUGCUGCGGUGAAUACGUUCCCGGGCCUUGUACACACCGCCCGU